UCGAAUAUACACAAGUUGUUGCUGGCCUUGGCAAUUGUGCACGCUUGUUAUUUCUCAUUUACACAUCCUUGUGCAUCUUCUGUAGAUUUGGUUUAGGACUGCUUAGCAAUAAUCUCUUGCGGGCUUUCCUUGUUAUUUCAGAUCUAUGUCUCAUAUUUUGUAUACCCCAGUAUAUAUGAAGGCAAAUUGAAUGGUUUUAUAAUGCAUAUA
rnacentral:misc_RNA from 1 species